UACGUAUGGAGCAAGCGUUAUCCGGAUUUACUGGGUGUAAAGGGAGUGUAGGCGGUCCGAUAAGUCUGAUGUGAAAGCCCGUGGCUCAACCGCGGGAUUGCAUUGGAAACUGUAGGACUAGAGUAUCGGAGGGGUAAGCGGAAUUCCUAGUGUAGCGGUGAAAUGCGUAGAUAUUAGGAGGAACACCGGUGGCGAAGGCGGCUUACUGGACGACAACUGACGCUGAGGCUCGAAAGCGUGGGGAG
rnacentral:rRNA from 1 species